rnacentral:rRNA from 1 species
ACAGGGAUUGCCCUAGUAACGGCGAGUGAAGCGGCAACAGCUCAAAUUUGAAAUCUGGCUCUUUUAGAGUCCGAGUUGUAAUUUGCAGAGGGCGCUUUGGCGUUGGCAGCGGUCCAAGUUCCUUGGAACAGGACGUCACAGAGGGUGAGAAUCCCGUACGUGGUCGCUGGCCUUCGCCGUGUAAAGCCUCUUCGACGAGUCGAGUUGUUUGGGAAUGCAGCUCUAAAUGGGAGGUAAAUUUCUUCUAAAGCUAAAUACUGGCCAGAGACCGAUAGCGCACAAGUAGAGUGAUCGAAAGAUGAAAAGUACUUUGGAAAGAGAGUCAAAUAGCACGUGAAAUUGUUAAAAGGGAAGCGCUUGCAGCCAGACUUGCCUGUAGUUGCUCAUCUAGGCUUUUGCCUGGUGCACUCUUCUAUAGGCAGGCCAGCAUCAGUUUGGGCGGUUGGAUAAAGUUCUCGAUCAUGUACCUCCUCUCGGGGAGGCCUUAUAGGGGAGAUGACAUACAACCAGCCUGGACUGAGGUCCGCGCAUUCGCUAGGAUGCUGGCGUAAUGGCUGUAAGCGGCCCGUCUUGAAACACGGACCAAGGAGUCUAACAUCUAUGCGAGUGUUUGGGUGUCAAGCCCGAACGCGCAAUGAAAGUGAACGGAGGUGGGAACCCUUAAGGGUGCACCAUCGACCGAUCCUGAUGUCUUCGGAAGGAUUUGAGUAAGAGCAUAGCUGUUGGGACCCGAAAGAUGGUGAACUAUGCUUGAAUAGGGUGAAGCCAGAGGAAACUCUGGUGGAGGCUCGCAGCGGUUCUGACGUGCAAAUCGAUCGUCAAAUUUGGGCAUAGGGGCGAAAGACUAAUCGAGCUUCC